UGUAGGUCUGACUGCAGGGUGCCUCCCGGGGCGCCUGAGAGGGCGGGAUCUCGUCCUCCGAGUCGGACUCCAGGGUCUGGUGAGUGUACUGGAAGAUCUCCUUCAGCUUCAGAACCAUCUGGCGUUUGGGCAGCGGGCGGACUCCAAACCUGAAUGAGAAAGCAGGUGAGCACCAGGACUCCACACUCGGCACCACCUCCUCGUUCCGGCAAAGAGCAGUUACCAACACGUGCAGUGACGAGCUCUGUGCGGCUGAGCCGUGGUACAACUCUAGAAAGCGUUCAGAGGUUAGCAUCUGUGCUGGGCACCGACUGAGCAGCCGGAGAGCUGACGCGGCUCACUGCAGGGGACUCCACAUGCUUGCAGACCACAGGGAGCAUGCCCACUGGAGCAGAUUAAAGAACCUCUGCCCAGCCCAGGGCCAGCUGCGUCCACCAGACCUGAAGCGACCACACGGUGCCGCUCCGCUUCCAGGGCUGCCAAGCCUGGCUACGUGAGAGAGGGAAGAGCCCGCCUGGGAGGGACUCUGGGGAGCAGCACUGACCUGUCCAGCUCUUUCUUCAGCACCGGCGUCUCCAUGAUGGAGUACCUUGGCAUUGGCGUUAUGGGCACUUUGGGGGGCAGCUUCUUCUUCCGAUGAGCACCUUCGGGCAAAACAAAAGCAGCACCCAUUUCAACACGAGGGGUCCGGACUAACCGCUCUGAUCCUGGCGGGGCCACCAAGAGAAAUCAGCUCUUGGAGACGACACCACCGUGACUUUGCUCCACGAGAGCAUGAAUGAGCUCCGUGCUCAGUGUUUGGAAAUGAGGUGCCGCCUCGGAAGGCAGCCCACGGUGCACACGCCCCGUGCCUGGUGGAGCCGACGCUGCGUGAAUGGUGUUCCUGGAGCUGGGCAGCCCCACACACAGCCACACGUAAACGAACUUGAAAAUGCUUCAGCAUGCCGCAGCAACCUGAGAGUGGGCGAUGUCCUUCAAGCAGGCAGACAUCAGUAUUAUUUUUAUAAAUCAACUAUUUAGAAAUGUCCCAGUUAAGAACAGGCAAAGGGCCUCAACGUACACUUCAAAGAACAUACACAGGGGCUGGUGCCGUGGUGCGGGCCCAGAGUCCCAUAUGGGCACUGGCUUAAGUCCCAGCGGCUGUUGCUCCCGAGCCUGGGAGGGCAGCCCAAGUACGUGGGUCUCUGCCACCAGUGGGGGAGACAGAGUGGCCCGGCCCUGGCUGUUGUGGCCAUGUAGGGAGCGAACCAGCGGAUGGAAAAUCUGUCUCCUUCUCUGGGACUGCCUUUUCUUAAAAACAAACAAACAAAAGCCACAGACAUCGAAGACAAACCACAGAUGCCGCCUCCUACCCGGGAUACUUUGUCAUGAGGAUGCAGGAACUGGACCCCCCACGCGCUGGGGGGGGAUGUCACGUGGUGCAGCCACCUUGGGGAGCAGCUGGGUUCCUCAGAGAGUGACCCCACAGGUCCACUCCCGAUGAACACUUGCAUUCCUCACGCAGCCAGGACUGCGAAGGCUGGAUGGAAGAGCAGAGGCGUCCGUGCGUAGAUCGCGAACCUCAGGCUCAGAGAAGGACGCCAGACCCCAGACUCGGUGGCUCGGUUUGGGUGUCUAGGCCGGGCAGAUCCAGAGAUGGAGAGUGGGUGCGUGAGGAAAAUGUCUGCGAUCCGUGGUGGCGGUCGCACCCUCGUGAACGCGGUGACAGCCACUGAACUGUGCACCUUGGAAAGUGACCUCUGGUGUGCGAUCCCUGUCAAGCCGAGAGUCACGUGAGACCGGGGCGUCUCCAUGCCUCCUGCCCUUCACAGCCCCGUGCCCGAGUCUCCCGCCUGCUGCAGGGUUCUCACAGCACCCCUGGGAACCGGUGAGAAAUGCAAAUUCUGGGUCGCCUU